AUGGCCCAGUGGCUCGUCCUCUUUGCCCUGCUCAGCUACUGCUCAGGUAUCAGUUCCCAGGGAACAGUGACCCAGCCUGCCUCUGCCUCUGCAUCUCUGGGACAAACCGUGAAACUCUCCUGCACCAGAAGCAGUGGUAGCUGGUACAAAUUCCAUUGGUAUCAACAGAAAUCAGGAGGGGCCCCUCGCUAUGUCCACUGUGAUGUUUGCAACAGAGGAGAAGGGAUCCCUGAUCGGUUCACAGCUUCCCAGUCGGGGGAUUCUGGUCAUUUGACCAUCACUGAUGUCCAGGCUGGAGACGAGGCAGUCUAUUAUUGUGCUGCUUGGGAUCGCGAUGGUG